UACGUAGGGGGCAAGCGUUGUCCGGAAUCAUUGGGCGUAAAGAGCGUGUAGGCGGCUCGAUAAGUCUGCUGUGAAAGUCCAGGGCUCAACCCUGGAAGGCCGGUGGAAACUGUCGGGCUAGAGUCCGGAAGAGGCGAGUGGAAUUUCCGGUGUAGCGGUGAAAUGCGUAGAUAUCGGAAGGAACACCUGUGGCGAAAGCGGCUCACUGGACCAUAACUGACGCUGAGGCGCGAAAGCUAGGGGAGCAAACAGG
rnacentral:rRNA from 1 species